rnacentral:rRNA from 1 species
CAAAUGAAUAGACGGGGGCCCGCACAAGCGGAGGAACAUGUGGUUUAAUUCGAUGAUACGCGAGGAACCUUACCUGGGCUUAAAUGUAGAGUGCAUUUUCUAGAGAUAGAAAUUCCCUUCGGGGCUUUCUGCAAGGUGCUGCAUGGUUGUCGUCAGCUCGUGCCGUGAGGUGUCGGGUUAAGUCCCAUAACGAGCGCAACCCUUAUCGUUAGUUGCCAGCUGGUAAAGCAGGGGACUCUAGCGAAACUGCCACCGUAAGGUGAGAGGAAGGUGGGGAUGACGUCAAAUCAGC